UCGAGGGGUAUAGUUCUUCGGAGCUAGAGACCGGCACACGGGUGCGUAACGCGUAUGCAAUCUGCCUUUCACAGAGGGAUAGCCCAGAGAAAUUUGGAUUAAUACCUCAUAGUAUUAUGGAAGGGCAUCCUUUUAUAAUUAAAGUCACAACGGUGAAAGAUGAGCAUGCGUCCCAUUAGCUAGUUGGUAAGGUAACGGCUUACCAAGGCAACGAUGGGUAGGGGUCCUGAGAGGGAGAUCCCCCACACUGGUACUGAGACACGGACCAGACUCCUACGGGAGGCAGCAGUGAGGAAUAUUGGUCAAUGGGCGCAAGCCUGAACCAGCCAUGCCGCGUGCAGGAUGACGGUCCUAUGGAUUGUAAACUGCUUUUGUACGAGAAGAAACACUGAUUCGUGAAUCAGCUUGACGGUAUCGUAAGAAUAAGGAUCGGCUAACUCCGUGCCAGCAGCCGCGGUAAUACGGAGGAUCCAAGCGUUAUCCGGAAUCAUUGGGUUUAAAGGGUCCGUAGGCGGUUUAGUAAGUCAGUGGUGAAAGCCCAUCGCUCAACGGUGGAACGGCCAUUGAUACUGCUGAACUUGAAUUAUUAGGAAGUAACUAGAAUAUGUAGUGUAGCGGUGAAAUGCUUAGAUAUUACAUGGAAUACCAAUUGCGAAGGCAGGUUACUACUAAUGGAUUGACGCUGAUGGACGAAAGCGUGGGGAGCGAACAGGAUUAGAUACCCUGGUAGUCCACGCCGUAAACGAUGGAUACUAGCUGUUGGAAGCAAUUUCAGUGGCUAAGCGAAAGUGAUAAGUAU
rnacentral:rRNA from 1 species